rnacentral:lncRNA from 1 species
GUAAUCGCGGUGCGCCGGCUCCGCCUUCAACCUCACGCUCCAGUUGCCUCUUGGCGGCAGGUCCGGGCACCUGUGAGGUGCCACUCCGCUGUGGAAAAGGAACAGCCAUUAAGACCCAUCGGAAAGUGAGGGGAGCAGGCGGACGAUGACCAGUCCAUUCUGGGGCAGGAGCACACACAUGCACAAAGUCGACGAGCUACACUGGGGAUAGGGGAGCUUCCCUUUCUUCCAUUUUUCUCUAAAAGGAAAUAUUUUCAGGAUUAUUUAGUGUGGUGCACGUCCCAACAUCUGGGAGUUUCAGACAGGAUGUUAUUGUUGCCAGAGUUAGUCUCACAGAUUCUGCAGCACCCUAAGUCAAGCAUAAGCUACUGAGAUUUCGUUGAGAUUUACAUUUGUAUGUCUGGGCACAGACCUUAUGUGAAGUCAUUUAUUUGGAGGUAUCAGAUAAUCUACUGAGAAAGUGGAGAGCCUGGAGUACAACCAGCCAACAGUGACAUCUGAGGGAAGGAAGACAAGGAGAGAGCUAAAUGACUGAGGGCAAGCAGCUAGAAGGGAGAGAAAGAAAAUCAGGAGGGUUACAAGAGCUACGAGAAGGAGUGGUCAAAUCCAUCAAAGCCACAGACAUGCCUUCCUGUUACUAGAUCCUGACAGUCCUGUAAAAAAGCCCUACGAUACAGUAAUUAUCCCAAGAACAAC